GGGUUGUGAGGUUAAGCGACUAAGCGUACACGGUGGAUGCCCUGGCAGUCAGAGGCGAUGAAGGACGUGCUAAUCUGCGAUAAGCGUCGGUAAGGUGAUAUGAACCGUUAUAACCGGCGAUUUCCGAAUGGGGAAACCCAGUGUGUUUCGACACACUAUCAUUAACUGAAUCCAUAGGUUAAUGAGGCGAACCGGGGGAACUGAAACAUCUAAGUACCCCGAGGAAAAGAAAUCAACCGAGAUUCCCCCAGUAGCGGCGAGCGAACGGGGAGGAGCCCAGAGCCUGAAUCAGUGUGUGUGUUAGUGGAAGCGUCUGGAAAGGUGCGCGAUACAGGGUGACAGCCCCGUACACAAAAAUGCACAUGCUGUGAGCUCGAUGAGUAGGGCGGGACACGUGGUAUCCUGUCUGAAUAUGGGGGGACCAUCCUCCAAGGCUAAAUACUCCUGACUGACCGAUAGUGAACCAGUACCGUGAGGGAAAGGCGAAAAGAACCCCGGCGAGGGGAGUGAAAAAGAACCUGAAACCGUGUACGUACAAGCAGUGGGAGCACGCUUCGGCGUGUGACUGCGUACCUUUUGUAUAAUGGGUCAGCGACUUAUAUUCUGUAGCAAGGUUAACCGAAUAGGGGAGCCGAAGGGAAACCGAGUCUUAACUGGGCGUUAAGUUGCAGGGUAUAGACCCGAAACCCGGUGAUCUAGCCAUGGGCAGGUUGAAGGUUGGGUAACACUAACUGGAGGACCGAACCGACUAAUGUUGAAAAAUUAGCGGAUGACUUGUGGCUGGGGGUGAAAGGCCAAUCAAACCGGGAGAUAGCUGGUUCUCCCCGAAAGCUAUUUAGGUAGCGCCUCGUGAAUUCAUCUCCGGGGGUAGAGCACUGUUUCGGCAAGGGGGUCAUCCCGACUUACCAACCCGAUGCAAACUGCGAAUACCGGAGAAUGUUAUCACGGGAGACACACGGCGGGUGCUAACGUCCGUCGUGAAGAGGGAAACAACCCAGACCGCCAGCUAAGGUCCCAAAGUCAUGGUUAAGUGGGAAACGAUGUGGGAAGGCCCAGACAGCCAGGAUGUUGGCUUAGAAGCAGCCAUCAUUUAAAGAAAGCGUAAUAGCUCACUGGUCGAGUCGGCCUGCGCGGAAGAUGUAACGGGGCUAAACCAUGCACCGAAGCUGCGGCAGCGACGCUGAUGCGUUGUUGGGUAGGGGAGCGUUCUGUAAGCCUGCGAAGGUGUGCUGUGAGGCAUGCUGGAGGUAUCAGAAGUGCGAAUGCUGACAUAAGUAACGAUAAAGCGGGUGAAAAGCCCGCUCGCCGGAAGACCAAGGGUUCCUGUCCAACGUUAAUCGGGGCAGGGUGAGUCGACCCCUAAGGCGAGGCCGAAAGGCGUAGUCGAUGGGAAACAGGUUAAUAUUCCUGUACUUGGUGUUACUGCGAAGGGGGGACGGAGAAGGCUAUGUUGGCCGGGCGACGGUUGUCCCGGUUUAAGCGUGUAGGCUGGUUUUCCAGGCAAAUCCGGAAAAUCAAGGCUGAGGCGUGAUGACGAGGCACUACGGUGCUGAAGCAACAAAUGCCCUGCUUCCAGGAAAAGCCUCUAAGCAUCAGGUAACAUCAAAUCGUACCCCAAACCGACACAGGUGGUCAGGUAGAGAAUACCAAGGCGCUUGAGAGAACUCGGGUGAAGGAACUAGGCAAAAUGGUGCCGUAACUUCGGGAGAAGGCACGCUGAUAUGUAGGUGAGGUCCCUCGCGGAUGGAGCUGAAAUCAGUCGAAGAUACCAGCUGGCUGCAACUGUUUAUUAAAAACACAGCACUGUGCAAACACGAAAGUGGACGUAUACGGUGUGACGCCUGCCCGGUGCCGGAAGGUUAAUUGAUGGGGUCAGCGCAAGCGAAGCUCUUGAUCGAAGCCCCGGUAAACGGCGGCCGUAACUAUAACGGUCCUAAGGUAGCGAAAUUCCUUGUCGGGUAAGUUCCGACCUGCACGAAUGGCGUAAUGAUGGCCAGGCUGUCUCCACCCGAGACUCAGUGAAAUUGAACUCGCUGUGAAGAUGCAGUGUACCCGCGGCAAGACGGAAAGACCCCGUGAACCUUUACUAUAGCUUGACACUGAACAUUGAGCCUUGAUGUGUAGGAUAGGUGGGAGGCUUAGAAGUGUGGACGCCAGUCUGCAUGGAGCCGACCUUGAAAUACCACCCUUUAAUGUUUGAUGUUCUAACGUUGACCCGUAAUCCGGGUUGCGGACAGUGUCUGGUGGGUAGUUUGACUGGGGCGGUCUCCUCCUAAAGAGUAACGGAGGAGCACGAAGGUUGGCUAAUCCUGGUCGGACAUCAGGAGGUUAGUGCAAUGGCAUAAGCCAGCUUGACUGCGAGCGUGACGGCGCGAGCAGGUGCGAAAGCAGGUCAUAGUGAUCCGGUGGUUCUGAAUGGAAGGGCCAUCGCUCAACGGAUAAAAGGUACUCCGGGGAUAACAGGCUGAUACCGCCCAAGAGUUCAUAUCGACGGCGGUGUUUGGCACCUCGAUGUCGGCUCAUCACAUCCUGGGGCUGAAGUAGGUCCCAAGGGUAUGGCUGUUCGCCAUUUAAAGUGGUACGCGAGCUGGGUUUAGAACGUCGUGAGACAGUUCGGUCCCUAUCUGCCGUGGGCGCUGGAGAACUGAGGGGGGCUGCUCCUAGUACGAGAGGACCGGAGUGGACGCAUCACUGGUGUUCGGGUUGUCAUGCCAAUGGCACUGCCCGGUAGCUAAAUGCGGAAGAGAUAAGUGCUGAAAGCAUCUAAGCACGAAACUUGCCCCGAGAUGAGUUCUCCCUGACCCUUUAAGGGUCCUGAAGGAACGUUGAAGACGACGACGUUGAUAGGCCGGGUGUGUAAGCGCAGCGAUGCGUUGAGCUAACCGGUACUAAUGAACCGUGAGGCUUAACCUUACAACGCCGAAGCUGUU
rnacentral:rRNA from 1 species